rnacentral:ncRNA from 1 species
AGCUAGAGGUGCGGAGAUUAAGAGUACGCAGACUGAGGCCGAAAGCCAUAGACGUCUGAUGGAAAGGAUGAUCCGCCGAAGCCGUUUUGUCGCAGAAACGGCUGGGGGCCUAUCAAACAGGUAGGUCACUGUCUUUGUAAAAAAUGCCAUUUUACAAAGGAGCACUAUCU